GGUGCCUGGGCCAACAGCCAUAACACUUAGCCUGCAUCCUUUUUCCCACACAGGCCUUGGCCACAGGCUGACCCUUUGGAACUGUCAUCUUCAAGUCAUGACCUUAACAGGCACUAUGCAACCAGUGAGUGCCAGCUCCAAGACUGGGCCAGCAUCUGGACAGUGACCCGCAGCACGGAGCAGGCCACCAGCACUGGCUAAUGGGACGUCUCGCAGUGUGGCUUGCCCUCACCUACCUCACAGGUGCUGGGAUUCAAGGCUGGAGCCAUGACUGCUAAGUCUCAUGUCCUGCAGGCUAAACUGGAACUCACUCUGAAGUCCAGGAUGACCUUGAACCCUGAGUCUUCUUGCCUUUGACUCCCAAGGGGACAGGCAGGCUUGCAGGGGAAAACCAGGAGCGACUUUUGAAGCCCAUCAACAAGGACUUGCUAAAAAAUAGCAUACCCACACAAUGGUCUACUACUCGUUCAUGUGCAAGAAAAAAAAGCAGCCACUGAGGUCGUUUAAACAAUAGACACAAGGUGUGAGCCUAGUCACAGCACUCCACCGCAUUUUAUAAAACUGGGAGACAGCGCAUCUAUGUGUGCUCAUGCUCGCACCCACAUUGGAAAGGAAAUGCAAGAGUCUUGUUCAGGAGGAGCUGAGGAUUUCACUACGGUUCUUCUGGUUGUUCUAGAGACUGGGUCUCAUGUAGCCCAGAAUGACGCUGAUAUUAUGAUCUUAUCCC